GACGAACGCUGGCGGCGUGCUUAACACAUGCAAGUCGAACGGAAAGGCUCCAGCUUGCUGGAGUACUCGAGUGGCGAACGGGUGAGUAACACGUGGGUAAUCUGCCCUGCACUCUGGGAUAAGCCUGGGAAACUGGGUCUAAUACUGGAUAUGACCUUUCUCCUUAUGGGGUUUUGUGGAAAGUUUUUCGGUGUAGGAUGAGCCCGCGGCCUAUCAGCUUGUUGGUGGGGUGAUGGCCUACCAAGGCGACGACGGGUAGCCGGCCUGAGAGGGUGAUCGGCCACAUUGGGACUGAGAUACGGCCCAGACUCCUACGGGAGGCAGCAGUGGGGAAUAUUGCACAAUGGGCGGAAGCCUGAUGCAGCGACGCCGCGUGAGGGAUGACGGCCUUCGGGUUGUAAACCUCUUUCAGCAGGGACGAAGCGUAAGUGACGGUACCUGCAGAAGAAGCACCGGCUAACUACGUG
rnacentral:rRNA from 1 species